UACUGUGAGACGGUCAGUGAAAGUUACCGAGCGCUUCAAGAAUCGUACUUGAAGUUCCAUAUUUUCCAGUUCAUAACGGUGAUAACGCAUCAUUACACAAUGUCGGAGUAUAUAAAACGCAUAUUACCUUUAACGAUAGCGGUUGCAUGUUUCUUUAAAUACUUGACGUUCUUAAUUAAUAUGGAAUCAGUGAGUUAAAACUAUCAAUAUUUAUUCGUUUAAAUUCUGGUAGAACUUGAUACAUUAACAAAUUAAUAAGUUCAGAUCUGCAAAAUGUCUCGUGAUAUCAGUUACGAUUGGAUUACGGUUGAGAACGACGAGGAACUUACAAUUCUGACAAAAUACACCUAUAGGGGUUACCAUUUUGGGAAAACGUUUGCAUAUAUAAUAUGGAUCCCUACAUUUCUCGUGAUGAUUGCUCACUUCUCUGCAGAGAUUCUUGACUUUUUCAUACCGCUUAACGCGUCGCGACCCCACACUUACCCGUUUGAUAUAGACUAUCCCGUCGAUCAAGAGAAAUACUUCUAUCCAUACGCGAUCUACGUAGAUUUCUCAAUAUUCGUAAUUGCUACCACGUUCGUUGGUACAGAAGCGCUAACCGCGAUGCAUUUACAUCAUAUUAUCAGUUUGUUGAAAAUCAUAAGUUAUCGUAUCGAAAAAGCGAUUUCUGACUCAACGAAUGAAUCGCAGAAAUGUUUAGCUGAUAAAGGGAAAGAGGGUCUCAUCAAAGUCAUCGUUUUGCACACACGAGUGAUCAAGUUCAUUAACCUUAUGGAGAAACACUUCACGGUUUCGUACGCUGUGCUUCUUAUCUGUGGCGUCAUUGCUCUAAGCGUUAAUCUAUAUUGGCUGUCAUUGUCGAUACAUAGAAUGGGUGAUCAAAUGCUUAUUUCUUCGUCCAUCAUUCUGGUCAUCUCUAUUUACAUGUUCUAUAUGAAUUAUUUAAUACAAGAUGUAAACGAUGGCAGAGACGAUAUUUUUAAAGCUUUAUACAACAGCGAAUGGUACAGAACGCCAGUAACUAUGCAAAAGUUGUUACUGUUCAUAAUGUUGAAAACAUUAAAAGGUGAAAUCUUCAAUCUGCUGAUUGUGUUCACACCAUCAUUCGAAGUUAGUAAAUACGUCACUAUCCUAUUUCAUGGUGAUGUACUCCACCCAGUGAUAUCGUUAUGGAGUGAUACUGGAUUAGCCGUCAUAGGAAGUUUGUUGAUAGUCAAAUCAUUUUCAUUGUUCUGCGAUGUAGGACUCUUUUUAAUGCACUGCUCAAUAAACGAUUAUUUGUGAGGAAACCAGUCUGAAUUGAAUGUUAUAAAUUGGAAUUACCUCGCAAGCACUUCACCUCUUUGACACGUAUCAUUCUCAUUGUACACAUCCGCACGCUUCAUACGCACAGAGUUGAUCGAAGGCUGCUCGAGAAACAAUUUCACCGGACCAAAGAGCCGAUGGUGGUUAAAAAUUCGUGAAAAAAAUACAUUUCUGCAACCUAUAAUCACUUUAAUAACUACGAUUUUGCGAAUGUGAGGUAACAGAUCAAUCGUGUUCACCUUUUUCGGUAUCUAUUAUACCUCCACCGAAGAUUUCGCAGAGUUUUUGCGAUUGACAGCUUCCUAUUUGAUGAUAUUUUUACACCAGUAGAAGAACAGUUUACAGAUGGAUAUCAUCUACAGAUAAUUUUAUACGAGUAAGAAGUAAAUAUUCCCGAAUCAUAAAAUAAUAUUCAAUCAUAUUUUAGUGAAUUUUCUGUUCAGAAAUUGAAAACAGACGUGGAGAUAUCUAAUCAACUAGAUUUCUUGUACAAAUUUCUUGUACACAUGUACAUAGGAUACUAAAAACAGGAGGAUGAAAUAGACCACUCGGCUCAAAGCACAGCGAAGUGAAUAGAACCUUGGAAAAAGUACACGAACUUCCUACAAAGUAGUAUUAGUUAAUAACGGAUUGCUGGAAGAAAAUGCUGGAAAAACGUGAGAGAAUAAGAAGCCAGGGGGGGUAAAUAAGAAUUUAUACUAUGGAAGGUAGACUGCAGCAUGUAUAUUGUAUAAACAUAGAUUGUUGCUAGCCUUUUGCACUGCAACAUACAAUUACCAUAAUCGGUCCCCCACCGUAGAAAUUAUAACCGCUAUCUAUUGAACGUCGCGACAUAACAUUUUUUUCAUCGCCACGAUUCUCGGGAAUGUGGGAAAUAUUUGAAAAAAAUGAGAGAAAUCGUAAGAAUUCUAUUAGCCAUGAGUUCGGUCUCGCAGUUGCGUUCGAACCCCCCGUACAAUCGCUCAGAUACAUAUUCCAUCGUAUGUACAUCCGAAUAAAUGAAUUAUAAUAUCGACGCAUCAGUGUUUGUUGCUGCUUUCACAUGAUCUUCACAAUUAGAAAUCUGCACUCUGGUAUGUGAUACACAAAACUAAUUCCAUUUUUACUGAGCAACAUAAACCAUUGGACACUCGAAUGCACCCGACCAUUAUUAUUCUGAAUAAAAAAGGACUCGAGAAAAUUGACUAAUCUAAAUAAUUCUAUCGAUUAAUCAUUUGAAAAUUCCGUCACGGACUCUAGAGAACGUCGACUUCGUUUAUGGGGUUAAUGUCACGAAUCAAUAACUCCUUACGGAUUACACGGAGAGGGUGACCGUCUCCGAGGGUUAUAGAUAUUGAUCGUAUUCAUGAAUAACCGGGUUUGUAAGUACGACGACGUCGGCCCGAUCGAACUCCCGCAACAGGUGGUUCAGUUGUGACAGCCGUUCGUUCAUAACUAAGCGUUCUAUCAACUUAAGUACUCUAGACUGUUUUCCAAUGGUUUAUUUUCACGCUCCCUUAAAGACAAAUGGAACACCAAUUAUCCAACCGUAAGACUCUAUACACGUGUCAUAAGAAUACACUUUGUAUAAAAUUUAUUUUAUACUAGACAUGUUCUAUAUUUUUAGUCAUGCAUGUAUUCGCAGUUUUAAUAAAUAUUGUAAGUCACUCGAUGUUGAAUUUAUAUAUGCGCGAUAAACGUUAUAAAUGAGCAA